GAUAGAGAUAGAGAUAGAGAGAGAGAGAGAGAGAGAGAGAGAUAAUAGCACUCUCGGGACUUGGAAUAAGUAUAAAACUUAGCUUUUAAUUAGCUCUAAAAAUAGGUCAAUUAACCUAUUUUUAGAGCUAAUUAAAAGCUAAGUUUUAUACUUAUUCCAAGUCCUGAGAGUGCUAUCUGGAUUGUUUCUCUGUAUUUCAGCCUGACAAGCACCAGGCAAGUAUAUUUGGAGUUAUAUGGAGUGCAAGAUUAUUAUUAUUUUUCUCUCUCUCUCUCUCUCUCUCUCUCUCUCUCUCCCCCUUUCUCCCC